rnacentral:rRNA from 1 species
GAUGAACGCUAGCUACAGGCUUAACACAUGCAAGUCGAGGGGUAGCAGGGUAGCAAUACCGCUGACGACCGGCGCACGGGUGAGUAACACGUAUCCAACCUUCCCAUAACUCGGGGAUAGCCUUUCGAAAGAAAGAUUAAUACCGGAUGGUACUUUUUCAAGGCAUCUUGAGAAAGUUAAAGAUUUAUUGGUUAUGGAUGGGGAUGCGUUCCAUUAGAUAGUUGGUGAGGUAACGGCUCACCAAGUCUUCGAUGGAUAGGGGUUCUGAGUGGAAGGUCCCCCACAUUGGUACUGAGACACGGACCAAACUCCUACGGGAGGCAGCAGUGAGGAAUAUUGGUCAAUGGGCGAGAGCCUGAACCAGCCAAGUAGCGUGAAGGAUGAAGGUCCUAUGGAUUGUAAACUUCUUUUAUAGUAGAAUAAAGUGAUCCACGUGUGGAUUUUUGUAUGUAUACUAUGAAUAAGGAUCGGCUAACUCCGUGCCAGCAGCCGCAGUAA